GUCGGCGUAGCUCAGACGGUUAGAGCACUCGGCUCAUAAUCGAGUGGUCGUCGGUUCGAGUCCGACCGCCGACACCA
rnacentral:tRNA from 1 species